GCUGCGAUGGCCGAGUGGUUAAGGCGCUGGACUCGAAUUCCAAUAGGGUAUUCCCGCGCAGCUUCGAAUCCUGAUCGCAGCG
rnacentral:tRNA from 1 species